CUCGUUUCUUGUUUACUUUCCUCAUAUGCGGGUCCCAUCGCCACGUCAUUGUCUUCAAGCCCAGGCACGAAGGGACGCCCACGCACGAUCCGACUGCUGCGUUUUUCAGUUUCUGUGCAUUUCCUCUCAAAUUGAUUUCCGGGCGAAUUAAUCCACCAUUUGAUGCACCGUUUGUUGCUACUUAAGCCUCACAGUCUCCUCUCUAUUUCCCCCCAAACGGCACUUCCUGAGAGCCCCCAGGCUGCUCGAAUUCAAGCUCGAAGGUCCGCAGCACCGUCACGGUAAAUCGUCGAUUGCGCAACAUCUCCAUUUUCAUCUGUGAGCACGACAGUGGCGAAGAUUUUUCCAGCGAAACAGUACACCUCGACGUCUGCCACUUCACUGUCGCCAGGAGCAUCCGCGAAUACACAUGCCGGCGGCCACCGUACGCGUUUUCGCCGUCGUUCCAAGAAGAGAAGUUCCACACCAUGGCCACCAUCAAGUUCGCCGAGUUGCACUGAACCUCGUCGUCCACACCCGCGAUUGCGACUGUGACAGCUGCAACCUUUGUGACUGCGAAGAUUGCAACUCCUCCCACUGAAAAAAG